rnacentral:rRNA from 1 species
GACAGAGGAUGCAAGCGUUAUCCGGAAUGAUUGGGCGUAAAGCGUCUGUAGGUGGCUUUUUAAGUCUGCCGUCAAAUCCCAGGGCUUAACCCUGGACAGGCGGUGGAAACUACCAAGCUGGAGUACGGUAGGGGCAGAGGGAAUUCCCGGUGUAGCGGUGAAAUGCGCAGAUAUCGGGAGGAACACCAAUGGCGAAGGCAGCUCGCUGGGACGGUACUGACGCUGAGACGCGAAAGCGUGGGGAGCAAACAGG